AGUCAGAGGACACCAUAUGAAAUACAUGAAAUCAUCAGAAAUAAUAUAAUCCGAACAAAUAUGAAAACACAUACACUCACUACUGUAAGUCACUCUGGAUAACAGCGUCUGCUAAAUGACUAAAAUGUACAUGUCUAGGAUUGGCGGCAGCAUGCAAUGACGUGUCUUUACUAUAACACAGUUACAGAACUAAAUUACCUGUUCAGUCAAUAUCACAGAUGAAAGGAUGACAGGCGACGAGAUAAACCCUCCGAAUGAAGGAUUGGUUAGUUAAUUUACAGUAUAGCCUGAUGCUUGUUCGGCGCAACCUCUCCUGAGGAUGAAUAGGUCUGAGCUAUUACUGUAUUUACGCCUUGUCAGAGGAUGAGGUUUAAAUAGCCUUCCACGUUACAAUACUGUUAUAAUAUCAGACCUGCCUGACGUUCUUCAAAUGAAACCAUCGGCAUCACAGCGCGUUCCACACUGGCGAUAGAGAGCAGAUCUGAAGAAACUGGAUGGUCUCGCAGAAGCAAAGCUGGAGUUGGCACUAUGCAUAGGGGAGGGUAGCAUUCUCCUGGCAUCCGCCAAACCCAGAUUUGUCUGUCCGACUGCCAGAUGGUGAAGCGUGAUUCAUCACUCCAGAGAACACGUUUCCACUGCUCAAGAGUCCAAUGGCGACGAGCUUUACACCACUCCAGCCAACAUUGUAUAGGUCAAAGCCUUUGUGAUCCAGGAUAUUCCUCUUUAGAAUCUUUUUCAUUUUGGUGCUUGUGAUGGCAGACGUGCAGAGAUGUGGUAGGUAGGGGCUCUGCCGUGAUCUGGAAGCCAUGCACUGGAUAAGGUCUGGAUUAACUUGUUGACCAUGUUUAUAUCUGAUUUAGC
rnacentral:lncRNA from 1 species